UUAAACAGUUAUUAUUUAGAAAUCCGAAAUUCAAGAGUCGUGAACAAUCAAAAAGUUCUUUUGUUUUAAAUUUAAAAUAUAUUUGUUUUUAAAAAUUUCAAAUAUGACCCUAAAAUUGAAAAACUCAAAGAGACUAAAUAAUUAUAUACUAUCUUAUCGAGUUGUAAAAUUUUUUGGUGAACUUUAUUUAAUGUGGCCUUUAAAAAAAAAAGUGAAUUCAUUCAAGAAAAUCCUUCUCGAAAUAAAUUGGUGGAUAUUUCUCAUCAAUGAUAUUUUUCUCUUAUUUGAAAUUUCAAUUGGUUUAUACAUUUCCCAUGGCAGUACUUCUUCAUUAAUAACAACUUUAAGCGUAAUAGUGGAAUUAUUGAUAAUAUGUGAAAAAAUAUACACGACAAUCUAUUUUAGAAUUAACCAAAUCGAGUUUCAGGUAUUAUUUUUCAAAUAUAAAAUAAAACUCCUUUUUCCCCCCUAUUUUAUAUUGAUAUUUUGAAAUUAUAUCUAAAUUCGUUUGUUUAAACUCAAUGUCCAUUUUUAUAUAUAUAUAACUUUGAAUGUUUUUAAUUUAAUUUCAAAAAAAUAUAGAAAUUUUGUUUUACGAAAAAAAAAUGAUUAUUUUUCACAGAAACUUAUUAUUGAUCUUGACAAUACAGUGAAAAAUGUAAAUAGUAAGGAAGAAUAUUUAUUAAAGCAAAUGGAAUCAUCUUCCUUAACACAGUUUAUACAUUGGACAAUUUUUGUGUUAUCAAUUAUUUGUUAUAUAUAUUUACGUUCAUUUAAACGAAUACUUGUUUUACCAGAAGAAGUUUGGUUUCCUUUUUUUAUUGAUCAAUUUUAUAAAAAGUAUUUAGUGACAUUUCAACAAAUGAUGUUUAUUACACAAAUUGGAUUAUUAACCGUAGCAGAUGGAAUUAUUUUUUUGUUAAUAAAUAAUGCUACAGUAAAAUUAAAAGUUCUCGCUGAUAGUUUUGCAAAAGUUAAUAAUAAUAAUCAACUUAAAAAAUGCAUUCAACAACAUCAACAAAUUUUAUUAUAUAUUAAGCAAAUUAACAGUACAAUACGUUUUAUGACACUUAAAGCAGUUUUUGCUACUUCAAUUUAUCUGACUCUUGGUUCUCUUCAAUUUGUUUAUGUAAGUAAAAUUUUUUCAAAUAUAAAAAGGUAUAAUCUCUAUAUAUUUAAUAUUAUAAUUGUUAUAUAUUAUAUUUUUACUUUUAGGCAAAAAACAAUGUUGCUCCAUUUAUGGUAUUUCAAUUUGUAACAUUUAUUGCUCAUAUAAAUUACAGAGUUUACUACACUGCUCGCUGUGCUGAAAUUUUAGCAGCAGAGAAUGAUAAUUUAAUAUAUUCCUUGCCUUGGAAAGGAAAAUCACGAGAAAUGGGAAUGUCUAUAUGUAUAAUAAUUCAAAGAUGCCAAAAU